GAAGCUGCACUGAACAUCGUCAGCGGACCGAGCAGAUCUGCGGCGCGCGCUCUUCUUCCUCCGACACCCGGGCGCGCGCCUACCGACUCUGCAGGAAGCACGCGCUUCAUCUGCCAACAACAACAGCCUUUAUAAUUAAGACCAUCAGGGAAGGAUGAUGAAAUGUUCAGAGGGAAGUGUCUGAGGAAGACCCUCACUGAAGUGAACCCAGAGAAGGAAGAAGAUGUGAGACAAAAGACUGCAGGAGUUCAAGCGAGGAAGAAAAAAAAACGUUAAUCAGGACAAAAGUAUGAAGACAAACUACAGCUACUACAUUCCAAAGUUCAACUGAAAAAUUCCCUUUAUCACACACACACACACACUUAUUGUGUUUUACAGGAUCGUGAUUUGUGGAUGAUUUACAACUGAGACACAACGCCCAACACACGCUGUUUCCAUGAACUUUUUUUUGGAUGUUCUGAUGAUCUGUCUUCACGUCUGUCUGUGUGUCUGCCUCUCUGUCUGUCUCUCUGCUAUAAUAAUGGUUUAAUUUUCUCUUCAUACUGAGACUGAAUGUAAACAGAGGUAGCUUUAAAGUCAGAGUCUCUCUGUCUUUCUCUCUCUCCGUGUGCCUAUUUACACAUGCAUAUUUCUCUCUAUUAUCACCUGUCUGUCUUCCUGCAGUUCUUUCUGUCUGUCUGCUCAUCUCGCUUUAUUCUCUCACUUUGAUACUUGUCUCAUUUUCUCCUCCCCCAUUACUACACAUGAACCCCUGAAUGAACUUCUGUGUGUGUGUGUGUGUGUGUGUGUGAGAGAGAGAGAGAGAGAGAGAGAGAGAGAGAUAAAGAGAUUACACUUCACAGUAUUGUCUCUCUCCAUGUCAAGAGAUCUCUGUGUUUUUAUUACUAUAAUAAUCUUUAUUGUGUGUAUAAUAAAGGCAGCAAGACACACACACCAUUGUGAAAGUGUGUAAGGCAAACACAGCCGUUCUGUCCCCCAUCCACCCCCAGUUGAGCUCACAUUCCCCAUAUGGACAGGGAGCAGAGGCCAGACACAGACACACACACACACACACACAGGCUUCAAACUUUUUUAAAUGUAGUGUAAAUAAAAACACCAGAUAAAAUGACUAUAAGAGUCACACAGAAAAAGCUUGUGAGGGUUCUACCAUCUGCCCAAUGGAGGAACUGUUACAAGUUCUAUGAGGAACCCUACAGAUUGGUUCUCUACGUGAUCUGUAAGAUAUCCUUCUUCAGGAAACGGAUGCCAUUUCUCAGGCACUCAACUCUACUGACCUCUGGCUUUAAAGACCAGACGGUUGUCAGAGUGACAAAAGUUUCACAUCAUCUAAAGCUGAUAACAAACAUUCCAUUACUUAAGAAUGUAAGAACGAAAAAUGUGUGAAUUCCCAACACACUGGGGUUUUAAUUCUGUCUCCUUCUGCCUUAUCUUAAAUCAGGAGAAUGUUUUUUUUAUAUCUCUCUCUUUGUGUGUGUGUGUGUGUGUAUGCAUGUGUGUGUGUGUGUGUCUCUGUCCGCGGCCAUCAGAGGAACCUACCUACAUUCCAUUUCCAUUAUUAACGUCAAUCAACAUCAUUCCAGGAACUGUUAUUAAUAACAACAGUAAUCUGUCAGUAAGAGAGCUUUGACAGUAUCGCAAAGACAGGAACAAGAUGUAACUAUUAAACUGAUGUAAACUAUAAAAAGAAGUACAUUUUGUCAUUUUUAAAUUAUUUUUUAUACUUUGUAGAACACAUUUUUGUCCAUUGUUGAAAGUGUUAACAAGUGCAAACACUAACACUCUCUCACACACAUUUACUGUUGGUUUGUUAUGAAAUUUCCACCGCAUCCAUCACACUAAACAUCCCUGUGUGUGUGUGUGUGUGUGUGUGUGUGUGUGUGUUUAGUAUGAAUAAUUCAAGUUUUUCUUGUAAACACAGAGUGUGUGAGAAUAAACACUGUGUAUUUAUCGUGUAGUCUCAAAGGGGGGAAAAUGUAUUAAAAUUAUUAUUAAAUCCA